rnacentral:piRNA from 1 species
UGGGAGAUGUUCUCUUGGAAGGCACCAGA